GGUCGCAUAGCUCAGUUGGUAGAGCACUACCUUGACAUGGUAGGGGUCACAGGUUCAAGUCCUGUUGUGGCCACCA
rnacentral:tRNA from 2 species